GACGAACGCUGGCGGCGUGCUUAACACAUGCAAGUCGACGAGUUGCGAACGGGUGAGUCAUACGUGGGUAACCUGCCCUUUUUUUGGGAUAAGCAUUGGAAACGGGGUCUAAUCCCGAAUACGGGGGAUGGGCUCGCGGCCUAUCAGCUUGUUGGUGGGGUGCUGGCCUAUCAAGGCGGUGACGGGUAGCCGGCCUGUGAGGGGUACCGGCCACAGUGGGACUGAGAUACGGCCCAGAGUGCUAGAGGAGGCAGCCGUGGGGGAUAUUGCGCAAGUGGCGAAAGCCUGAUGCAGGGACGCCGCGUGGGGUAUGAAGGCGUUCGGGUUGUAAACCUCUUUCGCUAGCGAACGGGUAGGUGGAGAAGAAGCGCCGGCUAACUACGUGCCAGCAGCCGCGGUAAUAC
rnacentral:rRNA from 1 species